rnacentral:rRNA from 1 species
GAUGAACGCUGGCGGCGUGCCUAAUACAUGCAAGUCGAGCGAACAGACGAGGAGCUUGCUCCUCUGACGUUAGCGGCGGACGGGUGAGUAACACGUGGAUAACCUACCUAUAAGACUGGGAUAACUUCGGGAAACCGGAGCUAAUACCGGAUAACAUGUUGAACCGCAUGGUUCAACAGUGAAAGACGGUUUUGCUGUCACUUAUAGAUGGAUCCGCGUCGCAUUAGCUAGUUGGUAAGGUAACGGCUUACCAAGGCAACGAUGCGUAGCCGACCUGAGAGGGUGAUCGGCCACACUGGAACUGAGACACGGUCCAGACUCCUACGGGAGGCAGCAGUAGGGAAUCUUCCGCAAUGGGCGAAAGCCUGCCGGAGCAACGCCGCGUGAGUGAAGAAGGUCUUCGGAUCGUAAAACUCUGUUAUUAGGGAAGAACAAAUGUGUAAGUAACUAUGCACGUCUUGACGGUACCUAAUCAGAAAGCCACGGCUAACUACGUG